rnacentral:rRNA from 1 species
AGCGCAGGUGGGAAGACAAGUUGGAAGUGAAAACCAUGGGCUCAACCCAUGAAUUGCUUUCAAAACUGUUUUUCUUGAGUAGUGCAGAGGUAGAUGGAAUUCCCGGUGUAGCGGUGGAAUGCGUAGAUAUCGGGAGGAACACCAGUGGCGAAGGCGGUCUACUGGGCACCAACUGACGCUGAGGCUCGAAAGUGUGGGUAGCAAACA